GAUGACGUCACGUAGUGUAAACCUCAAACGUCACAAGGUCAGGAUAAGAAAGUAAUUCAAGCCCUUCAAUCUACGUGGCAAGAAGUUGUGUCGGUCGCAAACAUCGGAGGGAAAAGUGACCGGUUCGAGGUGUCCUUACAACAACACGAAGGAAGACAUGAAAAGGUGAUGCCAUACAGAUGUCAACAGCCCCUCUGUGCAGCAAGGUAUGAAUGUCCUACAUGUAAGGUUAUGUAUUUCCCUCCCAAAGACUUAAAACGACACCAAAGAAGAGAGAGGAAGGAGCUAAAGUUCAAAUGUGAUGUAUGUAAUUCAGUGUUUGAAGAAUAAAAUCAGCUGGUCGACCAUAUGGGGAUACACACCGGUGGAAUGAAGCACAUCUUUUGUGAAUAUGGAAAAAGUUAAACCUCCGCAAGAUGGGACAUAAAUGGUAGAGCUACACCUGUAACACGUGUGGGAAGGAACUAUAGUCCAAACAAUCUUUGAGUCUUUGGCAGUGUCCAAAGUACUGACAGAUUUCGUCAUACCCAGACAUUUUGUACCAUUAUUAGGCUAUUUUUCUUCUCUUUUUUUGUAGUGUAUUAUACGGAAGCAUGGAGGUGACACAUCUCGUGCGCACGAGUUCUAUGUCGUGCGCACGAGAUGUGUCACCUUCAGGCUUCCGUAGUAUGUACUUGACAACGUACAGAAUAAUAAUAAUAAAAAAAAAUAUAUAAUCGUUUUUAUUCAACUUUUCUGUAGUCACUAAUGAAUACGAUUCAACGUUUGUUUAGUUACUAAUGAAUACGAUUCUUAAUUCAGUCCCAUUGUGGUAGUUGUGUACUUCUUUGUUUCAAUUGUUCUGAUGUUCUGUGCUGCCACCGACAAAAUGCGGAUAUAAUACAUUAAAGACUGUUUUAUGUCAAGUUUAAAUUCAUCUGAUAUGUAUUUCGAAUCUUCUGUCUGUGAUAGAGCUUCUAACUUGUGUUUGACAUGAUUUAUGUGUCUUAUGUUUGAUGUCGUCUUCGACGACUGUUGAGACUGCUUUCGGUUUCAAAACCAAGGAGGACAACAUCGCCACUAUCGUCUAACAAACUUUGUUUUAACGGUUUUCCAUCGAAAUAUAUAUAUAUGCUGAUGAACCUUUGAGUGAAGAAGAUACGUCAUUUAAAAAAGGAACCUGGGUUUCUUAAUUUGUAUACAUCAUCAUAUAGCCUAAAUUCUCUUAGAAUAUUCAAUGAUGGUAUUGCAAAAUUUAUAUCAGAAUUCUCAGUUUUGAACAGUCCUCUUCUGAUUUCAUGAGAUAUGAGAUAUGAUGCAUUUUUGAAACGGCUUAUAAAUCUAAUAAAUCUUGCUCGAAAAUGCCGCCAUUCCAAUUUCCAAAACGUCUUUGUUUCAUCCAUAUAUUGCACAAAUGAUGUUGUUUCGUGCUUAAACCAUUUAACAACUUCAACUUAAAGCAAUAAAGAAAUAUUUUGGAUUGGAAA